rnacentral:rRNA from 1 species
GAUGAACGCUGACAGAAUGCUUAACACAUGCAAGUCGAUGGGGCAGUUGUGCUUGCACCAUGUUAACCAUGGCGGACGGGUGAGUAACGCGUAAGUAACUUGCCUGCGGGACUGGGAUAACAGCAGGAAACUGCUGAUAAUACCGGAUAAGGUCAUUAAGCUGCAUAGCUUAGUGAUGAAAGGAGACGCCUGCGUAGACACUUGCGUCAUAUUAGCUAGUUGGAGAGGUAACGGCCCACCAAGGCGAUGAUAGGUAGCCGGCCUGAGAGGGUGGACGGCCACAAGGGGACUGGGAUGCGGCCCUUACUCCUACGGGAGGGAGGAGUGGGGAAUAAUGGAGAAUCGGGGCGACCCUGAUGCAGCUAUUCUGUGUGCACGAAGACGGUUUUCGGAUUGUAAAGAGGUUUCAGCAGGGAAGAAGGAAGUGACGGUACCUGCAGAAGAAGCGACGGCUAAAUACGUG